UCGAGAAUUUUUCACAAUGGGGGAAACCCUGAUGGAGCGACGCCGCGUGGGGGAUGAAUGGCUUCGGCCCGUAAACCCCUGUCAUUUGUGACCAAACCUUCCGACCCAACACGUCGGAAGCUGAUGGUAGCGGAAGAGGAAGGGACGGCUAACUCUGUGCCAGCAGCCGCGGUAAUACAGAGGUCCCAAGCGUUGUUCGGAUUCACUGGGCGUAAAGGGUGCGUAGGUGGUCGGGUAAGUCUGAUGUGAAAUCUCCGAGCUUAACUCGGAAAUGGCAUUGGAUACUAUUUGACUGGAGGGUUGGAGGGGGGACUGGAAUUCUCGGUGUAGCAGUGAAAUGCGUAGAUAUCGAGAGGAACACCAGUGGCGAAGGCGAGUCCCUGGACAACUCCUGACACUGAGGCACGAAAGCUAGGGGAGCAAACAG
rnacentral:rRNA from 1 species